rnacentral:rRNA from 1 species
AGCAGCCGCGGUAAUUCCAGCUCCAAUAGCGUAUAUUAAAGUUGUUGCAGUUAAAAAGCUCGUAGUUGAAUUUCGGGAUCAGUAGGUUGGUCAUGCCUCUGGUAUGUACUGGCCUCACUGGUUCCUCCUUCCUGAUGAACCGUAAUGCCAUUAAUUUGGUGUUGCGGGGAAACUGGACUGUUACUUUGAAAAAUUAGAGUGCUUAAAGCAGGCUAACGCUUGAAUACAUUAGCAUGGAAUAAUGAAAUAGGACGAUCGAUCCUAUUUUGUUGGUUUCUAGGAUUGACGUAAUGAUUAAUAGGGAUAGUUGGGGCAUUAGUAUUCAAUUGUCAGAGUGAAAUUCUUGGAUUUAUUGAAGACUAACUACUGCGAAAGCAUUUGCCAAGGAUGUUUUCAUUAAUCAAGAACGAAAAGUUAGGGGAUCGAAGACGAUCAGAUACCGUCGUAGUCUUAA